rnacentral:rRNA from 1 species
AAUCAUUUGUCUAUUAAUUGUAGACCCGUAUGAAAGGCAUAAUGAGGGUUUAACUGUCUCUUUUAGUAUAUCAAUUAAACUGAUCUCCUAGUCCAAAAGCUAGGAUACCAACAUAAGACCAGAAGACCCUGUGAAACUUUAACUAAAAUAUUAAAGCCUAUAAUAACUACUUUAGGUUGGGGCGACCUUGGAAAAUAAAAGAACUUCCACACACAUAUUACAUAAAAUAUAUAACCGGCCAACAAGCCUAUAACGACCCAGCACAGCUGAUAAUUGAACCAAGCUACUCCAGGGAUAACAGCGCUAUCUUCUUCAAGAGCCCAUAUCAAAAAGAAGGUUUACGACCUCGAUGUUGGAUCAGGACAUCCUAAUGGUGCAACCGCUAUUAAGGGUUCGUUUGUUCAACGAUUAAUAGUCCUACGUGAUCUGAGUUCAGACCGGA